rnacentral:rRNA from 1 species
UACGUAGGGGGCGAGCGUUGUCCGGAUUUAUUGGGCGUAAAGAGCGUGUAGGCGGCCAGGUAGGUCUGCUGUGAAAACUCGAGGCUCAACCUCGAGACGUCGGCGGAAACCAUCUGGCUAGAGUCCGGAAGAGGAGAGUGGAAUUCCUGGUGUAGCGGUGAAAUGCGCAGAUAUCAGGAAGAACACCCGUGGCGAAGGCGGCUCUCUAGUACGUGACUGACGCUGAGACGCGAAAGCGUGGGGAGCGAACAGG